GAUGAACGCUGGCGGCGUGCCUAAUACAUGCAAGUCGAGCGAACGGACGAGAAGCUUGCUUCUCUGAUGUUAGCGGCGGACGGGUGAGUAACACGUGGAUAACCUACCUAUAAGACUGGGAUAAAUUCGGGAAACCGGAGCUAAUACCGGAUAAUAUUUUGAACCGCAUGGUUCAAAAGUGAAAGACGGUCUUGCUGUCACUUAUAGAUGGAUCCGCGCUGCAUUAGCUAGGUGGUAAGGUAACGGCUUACCAAGGCAACGAUGCAUAGCCGACCUGAGAGGGUGGUCGGCCACACUGGAACUGAGACACGGUCCAGACUCCUACGGGAGGCAGCAGUAGGGAAUCUUCCGCAAUGGGCGAAAGCCUGACGGAGCAACGCCGCGUGAGUGAUGAAGGUCUUCUGAUCGUAAAACUCUGUUAUUAGGGAAGAACAUAUGUGUAAGUAACUGUGCACAUCUUGACGGUACCUAAUCAGAAAGCCACGGCUAACUACGUG
rnacentral:rRNA from 1 species